rnacentral:rRNA from 1 species
CCUACGGGUGGCAGCAGUGGGGAAUAUUGGUCAAUGGAGGAAACUCUGAACCAGCCAAGCAGCGUGAAUGAUGACGGUCUUCGGAGUGUAAAGUUCUUUUUUUAGGGAAGUAGAAAGAGACGGUACCUUAUGUAUAAGCCUCGGCUAACUACGUGCCAGCAGCAGCGGGAAUACGGAGGAGGCAAGCGUUAUCCGGAAUGACUGGGUGUAAAGGGUGCGUAGGUGGUUUGACAAGUUGGUAGUGUAACUCCGUGGCUUAACCUCGGCACUACUACCACAACUGUUGGACUCGAGUGCAGGUGGGGCAGAUGGAAUUCGUAGUGUAGCGGUGGAAUGCGUAGAUAUUAGGAGGAACACCAGUGGCGAAGGCGAUUUGCUAAACUGUAACUGACACUGAGGCACGAAAGUGUGGGGAGCAAACAGGAUUAGAUACCCUUGUAGUC